UCUCCAAACCCUGCUCCAGCGGGUCUGAAGGCUUGUUCCAGGUCCCUUCCCCUGCAGCUCAGGCCUGCCCCCUGCCCACCCAGGAGUCUGGAGUCGGGUUACGCCCGGGACUCGAUCCCACUGCCCUUCCACCCUCUCCUCAGGCUCCUGAGUCCCAGCUGGGGCAGAGGGAGAGGACGUCCUGGACCUGCGUCUGAGAGGCAGAUGGGGAAACAGGCCCCCGUGGAGCUAUGGUGCAGAAGGUGAACUGGAGAUGAUGGGACAGACUGAGGCCAUUUACAGCAUGGUUCUCCGAGGACGGUGCCUGCUGGAAGCGCAGACACUCAGGCCCCACCCCCAGAGACGCAGAACAAUCCUUAAGUCUGUGAGGACUAACUUGAAGGCUGAAGCCUAUAUGGAUCCAUCAAGCUUCCUAAGUCUUGGAUCUAUCUGAACUUAUCUUUUGGAAGGAGCGAAAAGAGACAGGAUUCAUUCCUGCCCCUCGUGGCUGCCCAAUGGCCCCCAAGCCUAUAUUGAAUCAUUAAGUUUUCCCCACAGAAACCUUUAAUAUAUCUGGGUUAAUACUUUGUUCUAGGAUUUCCUUUUUUUUUUUUCCCCAUAUGUCCUAUACUCCCCUCCCCUAUGCUUACCAAAUGUUCCCCAAAUUUCCCUUUGGUAUUUUCCUUGAGACUGCAUUGAGUUGGAAGUACUGGUUAAUGUAGCAUGAAUUGGCAUCUUUAGAGUGUUUGAGUCUUCUUCUCCAAAAACAAGAUAGAGCUUUCUAUUUUUCUUAACAUUGUUAUUUUUCCUGAAUCGGCCCUUGCCCAUAGAAGGCAUUCAGGCAGCUUUAAUGGGAAGAGGCUGUGAACUCCUUUGGGGAAGGGACUAGGGGAGCCCUACUCCAGAGCCAGUCUGUGUCCUUCCAAGAACAGCAGGUGGUGUCCCUGGGGCCCUGAUGAUCUGAAGGUUGAGUAGGGGGCCCAAGGGGGGCAGCCCAGGAAUUGGGGCCCAACAGGAGGUAUUCAAGGUUCCCAAAAUAAAAGCCCCCCUGCCCCCCCACCCCCCCAACUGUGUGCCACAGACUCACAGCAAGGCUGGGAGGUUGUGGGAACAGUAGGGU